AUUGAACGCUGGCGGCAGGCCUAACACAUGCAAGUCGAGCGGAUGAAGGGAGCUUGCUCCUGGAUUCAGCGGCGGACGGGUGAGUAAUGCCUAGGAAUCUGCCUGGUAGUGGGGGAUAACGUCCGGAAACGGGCGCUAAUACCGCAUACGUCCUGAGGGAGAAAGUGGGGGAUCUUCGGACCUCACGCUAUCAGAUGAGCCUAGGUCGGAUUAGCUAGUUGGUGGGGUAAAGGCCUACCAAGGCGACGAUCCGUAACUGGUCUGAGAGGAUGAUCAGUCACACUGGGACUGAGACACGGUCCAGACUCCUACGGGAGGCAGCACUGGGGAAUAUUGGACAAUGGGCGAAAGCCUGAUCCAGCCAUGCCGCGUGUGUGAAGAAGGUCUUCGGAUUGUAAAGCACUUUAAGUUGGGAGGAAGGGCAGUAAGUUAAUACCUUGCUGUUUUGACGUUACCAACAGAAUAAGCACCGGCUAACUUCGUG
rnacentral:rRNA from 1 species